UACGUAGGGUGCGAGCGUUAAUCGGAAUUACUGGGCGUAAAGCGUGCGCAGGCGGUUCGCCAAGUCAGGUGUGAAAUCCCCGGGCUCAACCUGGGAAUUGCGCUUGAAACUAGCGAGCUUGAGUGUGGCAGAGGGGGGUGGAAUUCCACGUGUAGCGGUGAAAUGCGUAGAUAUGUGGAGGACCACCGAUGGCGAAGGCAGCCCCCUGGGUCACCACUGAC
rnacentral:rRNA from 1 species